UCCUACGGGAGGCAGCAGUGGGGGAUAUUGCACAAUGGGGGGAACCCUGAUGCAGCGACGCCGCGUGGGUGAAGAAGCGCCUCGGCGCGUAAAGCCCUGUCAGCAGGGAAGGAAAUGACGGUACCUGAAGAAGAAGCCCCGGCUAACUACGUGCCAGCAGCCGCGGUAAUACGUAGGGGGCAAGCGUUAUCCGGAUUUACUGGGUGUAAAGGGAGCGUAGACGGCAGGGCAAGCCAGAAGUGAAAACGCAGAGCUUAACUUUGCGACUGCUUUUGGAACUGCCCAGCUAGAGUACAGGAGAGGUA
rnacentral:rRNA from 1 species